rnacentral:rRNA from 1 species
GUCCCUACGGGACGCAGCAGUGGGGAAUAUUGCACAAUGGGGGAAACCCUGAUGCAGCGACGCCGCGUGAGUGAAGAAGUAUUUCGGUAUGUAAAGCUCUAUCAGCAGGGAAGAAAAAAGACGGUACCUGACUAAGAAGCCCCGGCUAACUACGUGCCAGCAGCCGCGGUAAUACGUAGGGGGCAAGCGUUAUCCGGAGUUAUUGGGUGUAGAGGGAGCGUAGACGGCUGUGCAAGUAUGAAGUGAAAG